UACAGAGGUGGCAAGCGUUGUUCGGAUUUAUUGGGCGUAAAGGGUCCGUAGGCGGUUUGGAUAGUCAGAUGUGAAAUCCCACAGCUCAACUGUGGAACUGCAUUUGAAACUUCCAGACUAGAGUAUGAGAGGGGUAAGGGGAAUUCCCGGUGUAAGGGUGAAAUCUGCAGAGAUCGGGAGGAACACCAGUCGCGAAGGCGCCUUACUGGCUCAUUACUGACGCUCAGGGACGAAAGCUAGGGGAGCAAACGGG
rnacentral:rRNA from 1 species